rnacentral:rRNA from 2 species
AUGGGCGCAAGCCUGAUCUAGCCAUGCCGCGUGAGUGACGAAGGCCUUAGGGUCGUAAAGCUCUUUCGCCAGAGAUGAUAAUGACAGUAUCUGGUAAAGAAACCCCGGCUAACUCCGUGCCAGCAGCCGCGGUAAUACGGAGGGGGUUAGCGUUGUUCGGAAUUACUGGGCGUAAAGCGCACGUAGGCGGAUUGGAAAGUAUGGGGUGAAAUCCCAGGGCUCAACCCUGGAACUGCCUUGUAAACUCCCAGUCUAGAGUUCGAGAGAGGUGAGUGGAAUUCCAAGUGUAGAGGUGAAAUUCGUAGAUAUUUGGAGGAACACCAGUGGCGAAGGCGGCUCACUGGCUCGAUACUGACGCUGAGGUGCGAAAGUGUGGGGAGCAAACAGGAUUAGAUACCC